AUUGAACGCUGGCGGCAUGCCUUACACAUGCAAGUCGAACGGUAACAGGCCUUCGGUUGCUGACGAGUGGCGAACGGGUGAGUAAUACAUCGGAACGUGCCCGAUCGUGGGGGAUAACGAGGCGAAAGCGUUGCUAAUACCGCAUACGAUCUACGGAUGAAAGCGGGGGAUCUUCGGACCUCGCGCGGACGGAGCGGCCGAUGGCAGAUUAGGUAGUUGGUGGGAUAAAAGCUUACCAAGCCGACGAUCUGUAGCUGGUCUGAGAGGAUGAUCAGCCACACUGGGACUGAGACACGGCCCAGACUCCUACGGGAGGCAGCAGUGGGGAAUUUUGGACAAUGGGCGAAAGCCUGAUCCAGCCAUGCCGCGUGCAGGAUGAAGGCCUUUGGGUUGUAAACUGCUUUUGUACGGAACGAAAAGCCUCUUUCUAAUAAAGAGGGGUCAUGACGGUACCGUAAGAAUAAGCACCGGCUAACUACGUG
rnacentral:rRNA from 1 species